CAAACUUUCAAGGCAUGGAUCAACGCUCCAACCAACUGAGCCACACAGCCAGGGCUAAUGCAUAGUGAUUUAUAAAUUACAUGUAUAAAGUGAUAUGCCAGUAUACUUAUAUCAAAAAUUAAAGAAUGGGGUGAAAAAUUAUAAAAAGAAAUUCUAAUAUUUUCUUGAAAUCUCAGUUGUUGCGGCUGACCUGAAGGAUGGCUCCACGACUCAUUAGCAUAGAAAAAAACCAUCAUCUGGCCUCCAGCUACCUCUCCAGCCCACCUGGAACAAACUCCCAGCUACCUCAUGGCAAACUCCUGGGGACUCUUCAGCCCCAAUAUUAUCUCCUCUGAAGUCUUCCCCAGCAUCUCCCAAUACAAUCACCAUCUUGUGACAGAAGUUGCAAGGACAUAGGCAAAGGCUCUGACUGAAAAGCAUGAAUCAACAUGACUCAAAGGUGUGGAGACUGCAAGGGAAUAUUGGUGCUGUGUCAAACAGACAAACAGCUAAGUGUGAAGUGAGACUGGCAAGUUAAAAACUAAAGUGACCCUUUCACUCAUUCUCUUCAUUGUUGUAAAGAGAUUAAAAAAUUAAAUUUAUUUCAUACUCAAAGAAAUAAAUGUACAAUAAUUUGGAAGAGUUUUUGCCGGAAUUGUUGAAAUGAAUUGUUUUUAAACUUUUAAUUAUGAAACAUUUUAACACACUGGCAAACAAAAAAAUAAUAUGUUAACAAAUACGUAUUUCACAUCACUUGAAUUAAGCAGAUGUUAACAUUUUGCCUAGUUUCAGAUUUUUGUUUUCUGUAGAAGACACUGAAGUUACAGGUAUAAUUAAAGCCUUAAACCUCAGUUCCUUCCCCCGUCCCUUGUGCCCAGAGGCAGCUUCCUGUAGAAGGGGUUUUGUUAGCCACUCUUCUGGAAAAUAUUUGAUGCACAGGGAGCCAAAGGUAAAUUCCUGCCAGAGUGUAAAAAAGGUAUAGUCAACAGGAGAAAGAAAAUGAAUUCUGAAUAACAGUGUAAACCAAUUUAUUACUGUGUAUGAGGUGAUUGGUUUCUUCUGCCAGAGGUGGCUUUCAGCAGGAGAAGACAUGAAUUCCCAUUUCAACUGACUAUUUAGUGUGGCUAUACUUGGCUCUGGUUUUGAUUUCUUCUUUUGUAAAAGGAUAAAAUUCUGUCUUGCAAGACUUCUG